ACCGUUUAAUAUACCACAAGACCCAUAAAAAUUUCAGUAGCAUAAUAUGGCAAAUAAAAUGUAAUCCAGUCUACCGAGACCAAUCCAAAACUAUUCAUAUAUUUCAUGCCAACCCUAAAAAUUUAGCCAUCAUGCUACCAUAGUGUCAUAAGCCACAAUUUCAAUAACAUAUAAAAUCAUAAAUUUUAACACAGUCUCCAUAUACUCAAUUUUCUCAAAACAAUUUUUG
rnacentral:lncRNA from 1 species